UAGCUCAGUCGGUUGAGCAUGGUGCUUAUAACACCAAGGUCGCAGGUUCGAUUCCUGU
rnacentral:tRNA from 1 species